CUUGUACUCCCUCGGUCUGAAAAUACUUGUCAUUGAAAUGGAUGUAUCUAGAUGUAUUUUAGUUCUAGACACAUCCAUUUUGAUGACAAGUGAUUCCGGACGGAGGGAGUACUUG
rnacentral:pre_miRNA from 1 species